rnacentral:rRNA from 1 species
UCACCUCUAGCAUAACAAGUAUUAGAGGCAUUGCCUGCCCAGUGACUAAAGUUAAACGGCCGCGGUAUCCUGACCGUGCAAAGGUAGCAUAAUCACUUGUUCCUUAAUUAGGGACUAGAAUGAAUGGCUAAACGAGGGUUCAACUGUCUCUUACUUUCAAUCAGUGAAAUUGACCUUCCAGUGAAGAGGCUGGAAUACUACAAUAAGACGAGAAGACCCUAUGGAGCUUUAAUUUACUAGUUUAAUUUAUACAGUAACAACCUAAUGGACCAAAACAAAAUAAAUAUAAACUAAAAAUUUCGGUUGGGGUGACCUCGGAGAAUAAAAAAUCCUCCGAAUGAUUUUAACCUAGACCCACAAGUCAAAGUAAUAUUAAUAUCUUAUUGACCCAAUUAUUGAUCAACGGACCAAGUUACCCUAGGGAUAACAGCGCAAUCCUAUUUAAGAGUUCAUAUCGACAAUUAGGGUUUACGACCUCGAUGUUGGAUCAGGACAUCCCAAUGGUGCAGAAGCUAUUAAUGGUUCGUUUGUUCAACGAUUAAAGUCCUACGU